rnacentral:rRNA from 1 species
UACGUAUGGUGCAAGCGUUAUCCGGAUUUACUGGGUGUAAAGCGAGCGCAGGCGGCACGGCAAGCCUGAUGUGAAAGCCCGCGGCCCAACCGCGGGACUGCAUUGGGAACUACCGGGCUGGAGUGCCGGAGAGGUAGGCGGAAUUCCUAGUGUAGCGGUGAAAUGCGUAGAUAUUAGGAGGAACACCAGUGGCGAAGGCGGCCUACUGGACGGUGACUGACGCUGAGGCUCGAAAGCGUGGGGAGCAAACAGG